GGCGGCGUGCUUAACACAUGCCAGUCCAACGAUGAGGGUUAGAAUGAGAGCUUCGGCAGGAUUUCUUUCCAUCUUAGUGGCGGACGGGUGAGUAACGUGUGGGCAACCUGCCCUGUACUGGGGAAUAAUCAUUGGAAACGAUGACUAAUACCGCAUGUGGUCCUCGGAAGGCAUCUUCUGAGGAAGAAAGGAUUUAUUCGGUACAGGAUGGGCCCGCAUCUGAUUAGCUAGUUGGUGAGAUAACAGCCCACCAAGGCGACGAUCAGUAGCCGACCUGAGAGGGUGAUCGGCCACAUUGGGACUGAGACACGGCCCAAACUCCUACGGGAGGCAGCAGUGGGGAAUAUUGCACAAUGGGCGAAAGCCUGAUGCACCAACGCCGCGUGAAGGAUGAAGGGUUUCGGCUCGUAAACUUCUAUCAAUAGGGAAGAAACAAAUUACGGUACCUAAAUAAGAAGCCCCGGCUAACUACGUGCCAGCAGCCGCGGUAAUACGUAGGGGGCAAGCGUUAUCCGGAAUUACUGGGUGUAAAGGGAGCGUAGGCGGCGUGGUAAGCCACAUGCGAAAGCCUUGGGCUUUACCCGGAGGAUUGCAUUUGGAACUAUCAAGCUAGAGUACAGGAGAGGAAAGCGGAAUUCCUAGUGUAGCGGUGAAAUGCGUAGAUAUUAGGAAGAACACCAGUGGCGAAGGCGGCUUUCUGGACUGAAACUGACGCUGAGGCUCGAAAGCGUGGGGAGCAAACAGGAUUAGAUACCCUGGUAGUCCACGCCGUAAACGAUGAGUGCUAGGUGUCGGGGAGGAAUCCUCGGUGCCGCAGCUAACGCAAUAAGCACUCCACCUGGGGAGUACGACCGCAAGGUUGAAACUCAAAGGAAUUGACGGGGGCCCGCACAAGCGGUGGAGCAUGUGGUUUAAUUCGAAGCAACGCGAAGAACCUUACCAAGGCUUGACAUCCCGAUGACCGUCCUAGAGAUAGGACUUCUCUUCGGAGCAUCGGUGACAGGUGGUGCAUGGUUGUCGUCAGCUCGUGUCGUGAGAUGUUGGGUUAAGUCCCGCAACGAGCGCAACCCUUAUCUUCAGUAGCCAUCAUUCAGUUGGGCACUCUGGAGAGACUGCCGUGGAUAACACGGAGGAAGGUGGGGAUGACGUCAAAUCAUCAUGCCCCUUAUGUCUUGGGCUACACACGUGCUACAAUGGCUGGUAACAAAGUGACGCAAGACGGUGACGUUAAGCAAAUCACAAAAACCCAGUCCCAGUUCGGAUUGUAGUCUGCAACUCGACUACAUGAAGCUGGAAUCGCUAGUAAUCGCGAAUCAGCAUGUCGCGGUGAAUACGUUCCCGGGCCUUGUACACACCGCCCGUCACACCAUGGGAGUUGGAAGCACCCGAAGUCGGUGACCUAACCGUAAGGAAGGAGCCGCCGAAGGUGAAGCCAGUGA
rnacentral:rRNA from 1 species